GUGAGUAACACGUGGGUGAUCUGCCCUGCACUUCGGGAUAAGCCUGGGAAACUGGGUCUAAUACCGGAUAGGACAGCUGUUUAGUGUCAGUUGUGGAAAGUUUUUCGGUGCAAGAUGAGCUCGCGGCCUAUCAGCUUGUUGGUGGGGUAAUGGCCUACCAAGGCGUCGACGGGUAGCCGGCCUGAGAGGGUGGACGGCCACAUUGGGACUGAGACACGGCCCAG
rnacentral:rRNA from 1 species